rnacentral:tRNA from 1 species
GCCGGCUUAGCUCAGUUGGUAGAGCAGUAGUUUUGUAAACUUCAGGUCGCGGGUUCGAAUCCUGCAGCCGGCA